UUGAUCGCCACUAGGAAACUUCUCCUCGCAGUUUUACCUGCAUCUGUUGUGCUCCCAGCCAGUAAUACGAUUCAAAUAUUUGCCUGCUGACUUGCUCCCUCUUUAACCUGGUGAACGAGUUGUUCAGCCCGAACACGCCGUCAAACAAAGUGAGGAGCAGAGUCAGAGACAUAAUGGACCUUGUCACCGCAAACUCUCUCUCUUAUGAGGAUUUUGUGGAAACCUUUGGGAACGUGGUGGAGAAAUGUCCCAUGGUAGCAGCAGCUGUCUGGUCUGACCGGCCGUUUGUGAGCGUCACUGAGCUGGACGAUGCCAUCGGUCGGUUCAUCGACGCCCUGCCAGAGUCAGGCAAAGAGGGCAUCCUCAGGUGUCACCCCGACUUAGCAGGCAGAGACCUCCAGGGCGGCAGGCUGACCAGAGAGUCUCAAGAGGAGCAGGCCGGUGCCGGCAUGGACCGCCUCGACGCCACAGAGGUGUCCCGCAUGUCUCAACUUAACCAAGAGUACAAGCGUCGCUUCGGCUUCCCCUUCGUCAUCUGUGCCAGGAUGAACGACAAGGCCACCAUCUUGCUGCGGCUGACCGAGCGCCUGAAGAACGAGCCGCACGAGGAGAGAGCUCUCGGCAUCCAGGAGGUGAAGAAGAUCUGCCGACUGCGCCUGCACAGCCUGCUGCCAGCGGACACUUUGAAUAAACUCUGAUCUCCCUGAUCACCAAAGAAUGCUGACAAAUAUAUUCCCUUUAUUACGCUAUAGCUAACACAUUCUCCGAAAAGACCAUGUCAGUAUUGUAAACAAGUUGAAAUGAAGGCACAUAUUUCAGCUAUAUCAUCAUAGAAAGGCACAAUAAAUAGAAGCAGGAGUAUUGCUUGAGAAGAGUGGGAUUUCACUGACACUUCUUUAAGGAGCGUUCAGUGUUUCAUUACAGUGAAGAGGAAGUGUCUCAGAUGUAAAACACUAUCUCAGAAGCCAGAUUCUGCCAGGAAGGACCAACUUCCCUCAAGUCCAAAUGGACUGGAGUAGCGGGUGACUCGACGCAAUGGACUAUCAGCCUGUCCAGGGUGUCCCCUGACCCUCACCCCACGUGUGUGCGUGGGACUUGGUGCUUUUCAUCCAGGGGAAGGGAAGGUGAUAUCUGCCGGCCUCCGCUCCGUCUCCAUAUCCCGCGCUCACCGGGAGCGUCUGCUGCUGAAGCCCCAGAGGAUGCUGGAGGUGCGGCACCCCCGGAUCCUCUCGCACCGGUAGACCGUAAGCGGGGGUCAUGUCAGGUAUAGCGGCCGGCUCCAGAACCGCCAUAGAUGGCGGAGAGUAGACGGAGUUUCGGCCCAUGUAGAGGCACGGAGGCGGGCUGUGGCUGUACUCCUCUCCCUGGGGUCUCUGGUACACGCACGACUCUUUAAAAACCUGAGUCGGGUAGUAGUGGUCUUCGCGAUUCAUGGCUGCGAGGAGCCGGCUGCGUCCCUUCACCUGCUCCGCUGAGACUGCGCGGCCCUGAGGCUCCGGCAGGUGAGUCACUGUGGGACCAUGUGACUCUGCAGAGCUGGAGCUAUUGGUCUGGUCGCACCUCCAGGUUCAGAGCAGUCUGCAGCCUGCGUGGAGUUUCACUUAGGCCCCGUCCACACGGAGACGAAAUCGGUCGUAUAGUUCAACCUCAAGCAGUAAAAUCUCUAGGUAAACAGUGAGCACAUGCUGAGCCCGCCCUCCCAUUAGACCAAGUAAGCAACGCCAGUGAAUGACCUUGGACCUUUACUAUCGAAAACACCUCUGCUACAUAAAAUGUCAGUACUUUAAUGUGUAAUAAUGGAACUAUAUCAUCAAUAGAUUAGGUAUAUAAAUCUCUCUAUAGCUGAAGACAUUUGAAACUUCAGUGAAGUCAAGCUCUGUGAGGUAAUGUCUCAUAAUGUAGCCGGCAUGCAAAACAAUAAUAAACCGCUCAGCGUGUCACAAUGUCAACACGAACAAAAAAAGAAACAUUUGGGACGUCUUAAGCUUAGAGUUCUGUUUUUUGAUCAUUUGUGGGAUGUUUUGUAAACCAAAAGUAAUUGUCAUAAAUAUAUGUCAUAUUUUCAAGCACACCUGAAUAACAAAAGUAUUGUAAUUCAUAAACAACAAAACACUGCGUCUGUGUGCCGCACUGAACAAGGCUCUAAGAUGGAAAUGAGGUGGCUGGAGAAGACCUUCCAGUUUUGUAAACAGGAAUGCAGCACCUUUGUAGCGACAGUUUCCAUGUUUUUUUGUUUAGAUAUGUGUUGUAGGUAUUUAUUUGAAAAUACUUGUGUACAGACUUAUUUCACUUUCCUAAGGAUCUCAAGUCAUUUGUGGAGCGCCUCACUCGCUGCAGUGGCAGACUGCUCCCCACAUGUCAACAGCAGCAGUGGCUCUGGUGGGAGAGAACGGGGCGGUCAGUAAAGUGUGGAUUGAAAGUUUGAAUCUGCUCCGCGAAGCCGACAUCUGAACACCCUUGGAUAGUUCCAAUGAAUGGUGGAUGGAGGGCACACCGCAACGGAGAUAUGGCAGAGUCUGCCCCAGUGCAGUUACAUGCUCCAAAAUCAGGUUUAUGUGUGAUUUAUUAAACAGAUUCCAAGUUUGUUCCAUUCCAGAUGGCAGUCAGACCUGACAUCAUGUGUACAUCAUCAUCGUAUGUGUGGGUGUCUGGGGGUUGAGUGGACCAAACACGACCAUGUUUUGAGCUUUGAGAGUGUGUGACUGGAUGCUGACAGACUGACUGACUAAUAUUUGCCCGGAUAAAUAGUCAUUUGGAAUGUGUAAAUGAAAAGUCAU